AGGAUUGCAAAACCCUCCAUCUUCAACCUUCACUUGUUAGCUGGAAAAUGUAUGAAUAGAAGCUUCUCCUCAUCAAAGAUUUGGUUAUACUGAGGGCUUUCUGUCUAUCACCUGAGGUGGUGAAUGAGUCCCCACACAGUCAUGAGCAGAAGAGGAGGCCAACCCAGAUGGCCACCACUGCGUCCCUUCGUGCCUUCGCCUACUGCUUCACAGCCCCGCCACGCUGGGAGGGCGCAGGAGAGCAUGGCACGUCCGACACAAGCAGGGCAGAAUCCGCAGAAAGACCAGCAACACCAAAUGAUCAACUUCCAGAACAUUCUACAGAAGCGGCAGCUCCAACACAUGCUUAUUUUCUGAAACUUACACACCCAGCACUCUUUGUUUAGGCCAAACCCAAUGGGCUUGUUCUUUCCUGUCUAGCUGAUAAUUAAACUUAGUUUCUGGC